UACGGGAGGCAGCAGGGGGAAUAUUGCCACAAUGGGCGCAAGCCUGAUGCGAGCCAUGCCGCGUGUAUGAAGAAGGCCUUCGGGUUGUAAAGUACUUUCAGUCGUGAGGAAGGUGUUAAGGUUAAUAACCUUAGCAAUUGACGUUAGCGACAGAAGAAGCACCGGCUAACUCCGUGCCAGCAGCCGCGGUAAUACGGAGGGUGCGAGCGUUAAUCGGAAUUACUGGGCGUAAAGGGCACGCAGGCGGUUAAUUAAGUUGGAUGUGAAAUCCCCGGGCUUAACCUGGGAAUGGCAUUCAAGACUGGUUAGCUAGAGUCUUGUAGAGGGGGUAGAAUUCCAUGUGUAGCGGUGAAAUGCGUAGAGAUGUGGAGGAAUACCGGUGGCGAAGGCGGCCCCGUCGGACAAAGACUGACGCUCAUGUGCGAAAGCGUGGGGAGCAAACAGGGAUUAGAUACC
rnacentral:rRNA from 1 species